UUUUGAUCAGCUUUAGAGUAGUUGAGAUUCGGCUUCUGUGGAGAGCUGGACACGCAGGGACGGGAUCAUCAUGUCACCGCUUGGACUAAAAGCCAUUGUUGGAGAAAAUAUAAUGAACAAUGUCAUUAAGAAGGCAAGAGAGAAAGGAAAAUGGAAGGUUUUGGUGGUGGACAAGCUGAGUAUGAGGAUGAUUUCCUCCUGCUGUAAGAUGACAGACAUCAUGUCGGAGGGAAUCACUAUUGUAGAAGACAUAACAAAGCGGCGUGAGCCUCUGCCCAGCAUGGAGGCCAUCUACCUGAUCACACCCUCGGAUGAAUCUGUUGAGGGACUAAUUGAUGACUUCAGAGACCCACGGUGUCUGAGGUACAAAGCUGCUCAUGUUUUCUUCACUGACACAAUCCCAGACUCUUUGUUUGGACUGUUGACCAAAUCCCGUGCGUCCAAAGCCAUGAAGGCCUUGACUGAGGUCCAUAUAGCCUUUCUGCCCUAUGAAUCUCAGGUCUUUUCCUUGGAUAAAGAGGAUGCCUUUCAGGACUUCUACAGCCCCUUCAAGGCUGAUGUGAAGAAUAGCAUGCUGGAGCGUUGUGCUGAACAGAUUGCCACCCUCUGUGCAACACUCAAAGAGUAUCCUGGAGUACGAUACAGAGCGGAGUACAAAGACUGUGCGGUUCUGGCCCAGAUGCUUCAGGAGAAGUUGGAUGGUUACAAAGCUGACGACCCCACCUUGGGAGAGGGUCCUGACAAGUCUCGUACUCAGCUGCUUAUUCUGGAUCGAGGCUUUGACCCCGUGUCACCUCUCCUGCAUGAGCUUACACUGCAAGCCAUGGCCUAUGACCUGUUGGGCAUUGAGAAUGACGUUUACAGGUUUGAGACCAGUGGGAUAGGAGACACCAAAAUGAAGGAGGUAUUGCUGGAUGAGGAUGACGAUUUGUGGCUGACUCUGAGACACAAACAUAUUGCUGAGGUGUCAGCGGCUGUGACUCGUUCGCUCAAAGAAUUCUCUGCCAGCAAAAAGAUGAACACUGGAGAAAAGACCACCAUGAAGGAACUGUCCCAGAUGCUGAAGAAAAUGCCUCAAUAUCAGAAAGAGCUCAGCAAGUAUUCAACCCAUCUCCACCUGGCUGAGGACUGUAUGAACCGCUACCAGGGCACUGUGGACAAACUGUGUCGUGUAGAACAGGAUCUGGCAAUGGGAACGGAUGCAGAGGGUGAGAAGAUCAAGGAUCCUAUGAGGCUGAUUGUACCCAUUCUACUGGAUGCCAAUGUCAGUGUGUCUGACAAAAUCCGCAUCAUCCUGCUUUACAUCUUCCUUAAGAAUGGUGUGACUGAGGAAAACCUGUGUAAGCUGCUUCAGCAUGCCAACAUCCCACCAGAGGAUAGUGACAUCAUUUCCAACAUGGCCCACAUGGGUGUUCCCAUUAUCUCUGAGGGCACCACCAAGAAAGCCAAGAAGCCUGAUCGCAAGGAACGGAUCAGUGAGCAAACCUACCAGCUCUCCAGAUGGACCCCUUUUGUCAAGGAUCUCAUUGAGGAUGCAAUUGAGGACAAACUUGACCCCAAGCAAUACCCGUACAUUUCUCAGCGGCAAGCAUCUGCCAAAGCCAGUGCUCCAUCAAGUGCUCGCUAUGGUAACUGGCACAAGAAUAGAGGCCCCACAGAGAUGAAGACAGGGCCCAGGAUCAUUGUUUUCAUCAUUGGAGGCAUGGCGUACAGUGAGAUGCGCUGUGUGUAUGAGGUCACUCAGGCCAACGGCAAGUGGGAGGCUUUGAUUGGUUCCACCCACAUCAUCACCCCCUCUAAGUACCUGAAGGUACUACAGCACCCAGACUUCUUGGACCCCAACGCCCCACCAGAGGGCACUGAGGAGCCUCCUGCAUAAUAAAAUAACAUUUAAUUAUUGUCCCUGCUUUACGUGUUACCAGUGUUGUUGAUUGAUCAUCCUACAGUUGAACUCAUAAAUCUAAGGAUCAACUGAAAUUUUCACCCCUUCUCGCCUUCUAAAACCCCUAAAAGACUUGGAGAAAGAAGAAGAGACUAGUUAAGAAACUCCUGUAGUUUUCCCUCAUAUACUGCAUAUACUCUGCAUUUCCUCCUCUCUUCCACGCAGCAUGACAUCAUCAUCAUGAGACCUACAUUUGCUCAUGUAUAUAAAUCAGUUGUCAACUCAUUAAUCCUGUUUGAAAUUUCCAUGUGUUUUAUGAGUAUGGCAAAUUUCAUCUAGUGCUUUCCAUAUAGUAGAUACAGUAGCCAUAUAGCACAAAUCAUUAGAUUAACAAUAAUGUAUGACCUGGAAAAUACCAACAUAAAUUUAGCUGUAGCUCCAUCAUUUAAAAUAUGAAUAUACAUGAUAGUGAUUGUUGUGUAUUGCCACAAUACUAAAACAAUGUUUCUUUUACUGUAUUAUUUGUCUUGUAGUAAUUCAUUUUCCUUUUGGUUCCUUAUAUUUGACCAUAAUACUUGGUUUUUAUUUUAAAGGGAUUCUAUGUGAGUAGUCAUCAACUGUUGUUUCUUGUGCUUUUAUGUCUCAUGAACGACUAGUACUUGGUGAAAGAUGUGUGUUCAGCGAAUAAAGUGACUUCCAUUGAA